rnacentral:piRNA from 1 species
UUGAAUACUUGAUCGAAAUUGGUGGAACUG